GCCUGAUUGAUGACUCAGGGGGACUGUGGCUGCCGCAGGCCUAUUUUAUGAUGUCAUUAGGCAGCUUCGGCCGCGGGAAGGAAUCCCUCCUGACAUCAUAAAGGACUUGAUAUUUCGCUAAUGUUAUCUUGGCGGCGUGUCGCCCUGACAUUUUCUCUUUGCAGCACUCCCCCCAGGACCGGGAGUUGUCUAACUACAGCCUGGAAAAAAUGCAAAACAGACAAAUGCACCCUCGGGGGACAGCGGGAGAAAGCUAAUAGACCAGUCCCCGAAUCCCCACCCACGGAGGUGGUUUAGGUGGGAAGCAUGAUGUGUUUGUCAAGGGGGACCCAAGGCUGCCUUCCUACUGAUUCUCUCCCGCCUUGGGCCGCCUCUGCUCAGCCGGCAGGGAGGAAGUCAGGUGCUGAUGUUCCAGAACAAGCUCUGCCACCCAGAGGCUAUGUGACUUGGGCUAAGCCCUUACCCUCCCGCACCUCAUUUGCCCCAUCCACGCCGCAGGGGUGUGGCCCAGAUAAUUUCAGACUGCGUGAGGCUCUGCUGAGGGCCCUGAAGCUGUUGGGGACGGCCAAAGUGCCACAGAGAUAA
rnacentral:lncRNA from 1 species